AAGAAAAGUUUAGUUUUUAGACAGAUUAUAUGAGUAUUUCUGAUAAUUUUGAAGAUUAGAAGAAUAUUUUUGAUAUUAACACUUUUAGAUGGAUUUUAUGUAAUUAAGGUUGUGCACGUGAAAUUAUCCUUUUAAUAUAUGUAUUGAGUAAAAAAAGAAAUGAACGGUGCAUAUCUAUAAUCUAUAAAUCUAUAAUCUAUCUACAAACAUAUAUUAUUUCCCAAUAAUUUUGCUGACGUGGCGCAACAUUCUUGCUUUGAGAAUUUUUUUUUCUCAUUUAGAUAGCUUGCUUACCCUCUCUCUCUAUGUAACUCCCAUGUCCCCCGUCUUCUCUUUCCCUUCCUGUGUCACUUCGUUUUCCUCCUCUUUAUAACUCCUCAUUCUUUUCCACAGCCACCAUAUUCUCUUUUUCUCUCUAUAUAACUCCUAUGUCCUUCCUUCUUCCCUUCUUCUCCCCGCGUCCCUCCGUCUUCCCCCUGCCAUGACUCUCCAUUCUUCUCUAACCACUACGAGUCUUUGCAAAAGAGAUACUACACAUCAUUUUUAAUCCAAAUCCUUACAAUGUUCAAUCGAACGAUUGAUAUAAACCGAUCAUUUCCUCAUCAAUAUAUCCAAUGGUCGAGAUCAUACGAGAUUUGUUGGCACUUUUUCCACACGCUCUCUAUAAACCCUCUCUACUUUAUCUCUCACACUCCUUUUAGGAUUUCUGCCUCUUUUGUACCCUGAAGCUAUACUCAAAGC
rnacentral:lncRNA from 1 species